rnacentral:rRNA from 1 species
UACGGGGGGGGCAAGCGUUGUUCGGAAUUACUGGGCGUAAAGAGCUCGUAGGCGGCUCACUAAGUCGGGUGUGAAACCCCCAGGCUCAACCUGGGGACGCCACCCGAUACUGCUGUGACUAGAGUCCAGUAGGGGAGUGUGGAAUUCCCGGUGUAGCGGUGAAAUGCGUAGAUAUCUGGAGGAACACCGGUGGCGAAGGCGGCAUCCUGGACUGGUCCUGACACUCAGGAGCGAAAGCGUGGGGAGCGAUCCGG